AGGGGCCUACCCCCUCUUAUGUGUCAUGACAUGGAGGAGAGAGAGUGGGGUCCAUGCCCCAUCUCUUUUGGCUAGAGAUCCCUUUAUAGAGCGUCAAGAGUUGGCGCCCCAACUACCUGACAAAUAUUCCAUGAUGCCUCUUGUACAUACUUUAAGGAGCUGAUUAAUUACCAUUAUAUUUAGUUUUAUUUAUCAUAAAU
rnacentral:lncRNA from 1 species